AACAUAUGGCGCCCAACAAAUAU
rnacentral:piRNA from 1 species